rnacentral:misc_RNA from 1 species
UCCUCCUUCCUUGCUAUUUUUGCACUUCUUUUCUCCUCCAUCAUAAUAUCGUCAAAAUUGGCCUCCAUAUCGCUAUCAUCAUCAUCUCGGGAAAAUUUUGCAGGAUUAUAUCCGAACAUUUUUCUGAUCAGACUAAUAGCUUCAUCACCCUCAGCAUCAUCCUCUUCAUCAGAGUAUCGUCUUGCAGGCCUUUUCUUGGGUCGCUGAUCAUUCACAGCCGGACGUGAUGAAACUUGUCUCUGGGCUGGUGCCUUACUUAUCUGAGGUCUUGAUGAUGAUACUGGCCGACUCGGUGCUACUUUGGCCUUAGCAGGUGGACGCAUGUCAUUCCUUUUAUCUUCAAGCUUUUUCGGCGGUAAUGGCUUGCGCACACCAGGUACAGAAUUCUUUGUAUCUGGUAGAGAAGGUUUUUUCUGAAUGACGGCAGAUGAGGCUUUUGGUGCCACCAUUGGCCGGCCAGGACCAUUCCCAUUGUUGCUAUUACCAAG